UACGGGGGGAGCAAGCGUUGUUCGGAUUUACUGGGCGUAAAGGGCGCGUAGGCGGCCAGCACAAGUCAGUUGUGAAAUCUCCGAGCUUAACUCGGAACGGUCAACUGAUACUGUGCGGCUAGAGUGCGGAAGGGGCAACUGGAAUUCUUGGUGUAGCGGUGAAAUGCGUAGAUAUCAGGAGGAAUACCGAUGGCGAAGGCAGGUCUCUGGGCUGACACUGACGCUCAUGCACGAAAGCGUGGGGAGCAAACAGG
rnacentral:rRNA from 1 species